rnacentral:rRNA from 1 species
UAGGGAAUCUUCCGCAAUGGGCGAAAGCCUGACGGAGCAACGCCGCGUGAGUGAUGAAGGUCUUCGGAUCGUAAAACUCUGUUAUUAGGGAAGAACAAAUGUGUAAGUAACUAUGCACGUCUUGACGGUACCUAAUCAGAAAGCCACGGCUAACUACGUGCCAGCAGCCGCGGUAAUACGUAGGUGGCAAGCGUUAUCCGGAAUUAUUGGGCGUAAAGCGCGCGUAGGCGGUUUUUAAGGCUGAUGUGAAAGCCCACGGCUCAACCGUGGAGGGUCAUUGGAAACUGGAAAACUUGAGUGCAGAAGAAGAAAGUGGAAUUCCAUGUGUAGCGGUGAAAUGCGCAGAGAUAUGGAGGAACACCAGUGGCGAAGGCGACUUUCUGGUCUGUAACUGACGCUGAUGUGCGAAAGCGUGGGGAUCAAACAGG